UGUAUUUUUUCAUAGCUCCCAUGGUUACCGAGAUAAUCUACUAUAAUAAUACUCUUGUGUUUAUGAAUGAGGAGGGAAGGGGUGAUGUCAUACUUGGUAGCGGGAUGAUGAAAAUAGUACGCUGAAAAAAUAAAUCAAAUAGCAUUUC